rnacentral:lncRNA from 1 species
GAGACAAUUUAAAAUAACAAUAUGGUCAAGAUCUAAAGUAUGUGUCAUAAUUCUAAUUAUAAUUAUCUUAAUUUGCUAUUUUUUUCAGAGGAGACGGACAACAACAAAGCAUCGGCCGGCAUAGCAGACAAACAUAUGUUUGUGCACAAUGCGCAUCUGAGCAUUGUGUGCAUGCCGGCCAACUCUGCCGUCCCCCCCCCCUGGACGUCAUAAUUGGAAAGGAAUCACCCGCAAAUUUUAAUGGAAGGUAAGUGUAUAUAGUAUUUUGCGGAUGAUUCUACUAAUUUAAUUUACUUGGGGCGGGCAAAUUUGCGCGCCCUGUUUUUCAGCGCCGUCGUCGUGGUGAGUAUCGUUGCCGCUGCCGCUGCUGCUGACUUCUGGCCGCUGGUGUUGGAUUCCGGUGGAGAUUAGUCCAGUGGCACUGGUCCGGCCACCGGAGGAUGGAGAGAGACACUCGCCACCCACAUAUGCACCCUCAGCGGCUCGGGUCCGGCCGCCUGGAUGGUGCAUGAAAUUGGAGUGUGAUUGUGUGCGAGUGUCGGGAUUGGCGUGCCUCUGGACAAGCUGUCCAAAGUUGUCGCACUCGACCAUAAUUAGGCGGCUCUGGUCCGGCCGCCUGCAGGUGAGUGAUUGUUGUAGUUGUUUUGUGCUUGUUUUAUUUUAUUUAUUUAUUUUAAUUGUUUUCCUCUUUUAUUUCCAGGUUUUUCUGCAGAGGCGCAUCGUCGAUUAAUGGCUGGCCACGCCAUCAACAAAUACACUCUCUAUGGACCAGAGGAGUGUAUGGAAUUGAAGAGAAUGAUGGCGUGACGAAUCGUGGAGGGCGUGGCAUGUUCGCGCUCCUUGUCCAGUGCACGACAAACCUCAAGCGGCUGCUGGUCCGGCCGCCUGCAGGUAAGUACGUGUUUUUUUUUUGUAGUUUGGUGAUUUUUGCAUCUUAUUUUUAUUUAUGUUUAUUUGUUCCAGGUUUCCUUGCAGGACUGCGUCAUUGGUGUUGAUUUGGAUGCUUUUGCUGCUGCUGCUGCUGCUGCUGGUUGGUAAGUAUGUGUUUUUGUUGUUUUAUUUGUAUAUUUUUGGUAAUUAAUUGAUUUCUUUCUUAUAUUUCAGGUUUCUCAGCUGAAGAAAUGGCCGCCUAUACUCGCAUCCAGCGGGCUUUCCUUGGACCAAGAGGAAGCGACUGGGCUUGGAGAGGAUGUAGGCGAAAAUAUUGCUGAGGGCGUGGUAUUUUUUGGGCGCCCCCGUGUCAAACAUCAGACCACGGUCAAGCGGCUGCUGGUCCGGCCGCCUGUAGGUGAGAAUAUGUAUUUGUUGACGUUUGUUUUUGUAUUUGCUUUUAUUUAUUCAUUUUUUAUUUCAGAUUUCUGUGCAGGGCAGCGUCUUCGAUGUUGAUUUGAGUGCUGUUUCUGCUGCUGCUGCUGCUGGUUGGUGAGUAUGUGUUUUUGUUGUUUUAUUUGUAUAUUUUUGGUAAUUAAUUGAUUUUUCUUUUUAUUUCAGGUUUCUCAGCUGAGGAAAUGGCCGCCUAUACUCGCAUCCAGCGGGCUUUCCUUGGACCAGGAGGAAGCGACUGGGCUUGGAGAGGAUGUAGGCGUGGAAAUUGCUGCAGGCGUGGCAUUUUGGGCACCCCCGUGUCAGACAUCAGACCACGAAUCAAGCGGCUGCUGGUCCGGCCGCCUGUAGGUGAGAAUAUGUAUUUUUUGGCAUUUGUUUUUGCAUUUGCUUUCAUUUAUUCGUUUUUUAUUUCAGAUUUCUGUGCAGGGCAGCGUCUUCGAUGUUGAUUUGAGUGCUGUUUCUGCUGCUGCUGCUGCUGGUUGGUAAGUAUGUGUUUUUGUUGUUUUAUUUCUGUAUUUUUUGGUAAUUAAUUGACUUUUCUUUUAUUUCAGGUUUCACAGCUGAGGAAAUGGCCGCCUAUACUCGCAUCCAGCGGGCUUUCCUUGGACCAGGAGGAAGCGACUGGGCUUGGAGUGGAUGAAGGCGUGGAAAUUGCUGAGGGCGUGGCAUUUUGGGAGCCCCCCGUGUCAAACAACAGACCACGGUCAAGCGGCUGCUGGUCCGGCCGCCUGAAGGUGAGAAUAUGUAUUUGUUGACAUUUGUUUUUGUAUUUGCUUUUAUUUAUUCAUUUUUUUUUAUUUCAGAUUUCUGUGCAGGGCAGCGUCUUCGAUGUUGAUUUGAGUGCUGUUUCUGCUGCUGCUGCUGCUGGUUGGUAAGUAUGUGUUUUUGUUGUUUUAUUUCUGUAUUUUUUGGUAAUUAAUUGACUUUUCUUUUAUUUCAGGUUUCACAGCUGAGGAAAUGGCCGCCUAUACUCGCAUCCAGCGGGCUUUCCUUGGACCAGGAGGAAGCGACUGGGCUUGGAGAGGAUGAAGGCGAAAAUAUUGCUGAGGGCGUGGCAUUUUGGGCGCCCUGUGUCAGCACUCGACCGUAACCAAACGGCUUUUGGCCCUGCCAACCUGCAGAUGAGUGCUUAGAUGGAGUAUUGUUUGUAUAUUUUGAUUUAAUCAGUUUUCUUUUAUUCUAUUUCAGGUUUUGCUGCAGGUGCUGCGUCGUCGCUGAAGGAUUGGAUGCUGCUGUUGCUGUUGAUUGACGGCCGCUUGCAUGUAGGUAUUUGUAUUUGUUGGUUUGUUUUGUAUUUUAUUUUAAUUGUGGUUUUCUUUUUAUUUCAGGUUUCUCUGCCGCGGCUGCGUCGUUGGUUAGAGUCGGCAAAAUCUUCGACUAGGACAUACUCCAUGGACUAGAAAAAUGAUUCCAGUUGGAGAGGAUGAUCGACGUGAGGAUUUGUGAAGGGCGUGGCAUUUUUAAGGCAACAAGCAUGUGCAGACGGCUGCUGGUCCGGCCGCCUACAGGUGAGUGUGUGUAUUUGCUGUUUUAUGUGUUUGUUUAUUAUUUUAAUUGUUUCUUUUUGUUAUCAGAUUAUCAGCUCUGGCUGCAUCAUCGUUUAGUGGCUACCAGUUCAGAUUCCU